GCCUGGGCACAGUGCUGUCUCCUCAGGGUCGGGGAGACCCUUUCAGAAGGAGUAGGGGCACUAACUCACCACCCCCACCCCUGACGAACCCCCAGCACACUGUCUUGCUCGACUGCAAGCCCGCAGCUUUGGCCUCAGCUGUUAAUCCUCUCAGAAUAGGACGGACCAGUGGCAGGCAGGAACGCGCGUCUGCCUGUGGAAUGAGAGACUGUGAUUUCUUAACCUUGAUGGAAAAGGGGAAAGCCACAUCUUACCAAACUCUUCCGCUGCGUCGUAGGGAAUUUAAUUACAUUUGGACAUUUGAAUGAGAAGCAGAUGUGGCUCUGGCCCGCUGGCCAGCAGCUCUCAAAGGACAGCCGCUCUCCUGUGGUCUGCAGGGCUCAGUGCUAUCUCGUCACGCUGGAGGGUAGCUCGGGGAGACCCCUUCCUGAGAACUAGGAGCCGUACACGCCCAGUGAGGUCACUAGAGCAGACCCUCCCCUCCUGUGCCACAGAUGCUGAUGCAGAUGAGAAGUGAAGUGACUUGCCCAGGUCAUUUGGCACAUCUGUGACAGAACUGAGGCCAGAGCGAAGUCUCGGCCUCCUAGCACAGUCCUCCUCCUCCCUAGGCCGUCCACAGGGAGUGGCAGGGCAGGGCUUCUCCCACAUCUGGCCGAUCCUGAGCAUGGCUCCAGCCAGUCCUCAGAUACAUCCAAACCAGCGACAGAGGAGCUGGG
rnacentral:sRNA from 1 species